UACAGAGGGUGCAAGCGUUGUUCGGAAUUACUGGGCGUAAAGCGUGCGCAGGCGGUUUUGUAAGUCUGACGUGAAAUCCCCGGGCUCAACCUGGGAAUUGCGUUGGAGACUGCAAGGCUGGAGUCUGGCAGAGGGGGGUAGAAUUCCACGUGUAGCAGUGAAAUGCGUAGAGAUGUGGAGGAACACCGAUGGCGAAGGCAGCCCCCUGGGUCAAGACUGACGCUCAUGCACGAAAGCGUGGGGAGCAAACAGG
rnacentral:rRNA from 1 species